CAGAGUAGCAAAAUUGCGUUAAGUGCCAUAUCAUGGGAAGUUGGAUAUGGACGAACAUGAUUACAUCAUGGCGGUAAUUUUGUGCAUCCGCUGU
rnacentral:ncRNA from 1 species